UACAGAGGGGGCAAGCGUUGUUCGGAAUUACUGGGCGUAAAGGGCGCGUAGGCGGCCUGCUAAGUCGAACGUGAAAUCCCUGGGCUCAACCCCAGGAACUGCGUCCGAUACUGGUUGGCUUGAAUCCGGGAGAGGGACGUGGAAUUCCAGGUGUAGCGGUGAAAUGCGUAGAUAUCUGGAGGAACACCGGUGGCGAAGGCGACGUCCUGGACCGGCAUUGACGCUGAGGAGCGAAAGCCAGGGGAGCAAACGGG
rnacentral:rRNA from 1 species